CCCGGGAGGGCUAUCUCCCGGCAUUCCCCACCCCCUUGACUGGGAAAGAUGCCUUUGCACUUGGUCUCCUGGCUGCAGGAGAGGUCUGGGCGCUGAAGCUGGUCCCGAGCCGGCCAGGGCUGCGGUUUCCAUCUUGAGCCGGUGUCCCUUGAAACUUCUCCAAGUGCCCGCACGACUUACCUUUCCCUGACUUCUCUGUCCACACCCGGCCGCCCAUCGGCAAAAAGAAAACGAGCUGGGCGAGGAGUUUAGGAAUGCGGAGCACCCCAAAUGUCCGAGUCAAGAGUUUUAAUGCUUGUUGUUUCCCAUCAACAACGACCAGAGAGAAACUUUUCCUCCGGGAGAGCCUAGGCUGGCGGGGGCGAGAGCAGCAAGAUUUUGCGAGCAGCGCGCGUGUCCACGCGUGCAGGGCCAGCAGCCUACGCUUUCCCGGUAGGGUGGGGGCAGUGUGGAAAAGACCACUGCCUGGGCAGAAUCCUUUGAGAUAGACCUAGAUGGGGCGCUCCGUUCACACAACCGAUCUUUAAAACUUGCUACUACAGAAAAAUCCAGACUUUCAAGGGCGCCCCUUGAAAAUAAAAGAGCAA